AGAGUUUGAUCCUGGCUCAGGAUGAACGCUGGCGGCGUGCCUAAUACAUGCAAGUCGAGCGAACGGACGAGAAGCUUGCUUCUCUGAUGUUAGCGGCGGACGGGUGAGUAACACGUGGAUAACCUACCUAUAAGACUGGGAUAACUUCGGGAAACCGGAGCUAAUACCGGAUAAUAUUUUGAACCGCAUGGUUCAAAAGUGAAAGACGGUCUUGCUGUCACUUAUAGAUGGAUCCGCGCUGCAUUAGCUAGUUGGUAAGGUAACGGCUUACCAAGGCAACGAUGCAUAGCCGACCUGAGAGGGUGAUCGGCCACACUGGAACUGAGACACGGUCCAGACUCCUACGGGAGGCAGCAGUAGGGAAUCUUCCGCAAUGGGCGAAAGCCUGACGGAGCAACGCCGCGUGAGUGAUGAAGGUCUUCGGAUCGUAAAACUCUGUUAUUAGGGAAGAACAUAUGUGUAAGUAACUGUGCACAUCUUGACGGUACCUAAUCAGAAAGCCACGGCUAACUACGUGCCAGCAGCCGCGGUAAUACGUAGGUGGCAAGCGUUAUCCGGAAUUAUUGGGCGUAAAGCGCGCGUAGGCGGUUUUUUAAGUCUGAUGUGAAAGCCCACGGCUCAACCGUGGAGGGUCAUUGGAAACUGGAAAACUUGAGUGCAGAAGAGGAAAGUGGAAUUCCAUGUGUAGCGGUGAAAUGCGCAGAGAUAUGGAGGAACACCAGUGGCGAAGGCGACUUUCUGGUCUGUAACUGACGCUGAUGUGCGAAAGCGUGGGGAUCAAACAGGAUUAGAUACCCUGGUAGUCCACGCCGUAAACGAUGAGUGCUAAGUGUUAGGGGGUUUCCGCCCCUUAGUGCUGCAGCUAACGCAUUAAGCACUCCGCCUGGGGAGUACGACCGCAAGGUUGAAACUCAAAGGAAUUGACGGGGACCCGCACAAGCGGUGGAGCAUGUGGUUUAAUUCGAAGCAACGCGAAGAACCUUACCAAAUCUUGACAUCCUUUGACAACUCUAGAGAUAGAGCCUUCCCCUUCGGGGGACAAAGUGACAGGUGGUGCAUGGUUGUCGUCAGCUCGUGUCGUGAGAUGUUGGGUUAAGUCCCGCAACGAGCGCAACCCUUAAGCUUAGUUGCCAUCAUUAAGUUGGGCACUCUAAGUUGACUGCCGGUGACAAACCGGAGGAAGGUGGGGAUGACGUCAAAUCAUCAUGCCCCUUAUGAUUUGGGCUACACACGUGCUACAAUGGACAAUACAAAGGGCAGCGAAACCGCGAGGUCAAGCAAAUCCCAUAAAGUUGUUCUCAGUUCGGAUUGUAGUCUGCAACUCGACUACAUGAAGCUGGAAUCGCUAGUAAUCGUAGAUCAGCAUGCUACGGUGAAUACGUUCCCGGGUCUUGUACACACCGCCCGUCACACCACGAGAGUUUGUAACACCCGAAGCCGGUGGAGUAACCUUUUAGGAGCUAGCCGUCGAAGGUGGGACAAAUGAUUGGGGUGAAGUCGUAACAAGGU
rnacentral:rRNA from 1 species